CGCAGACGUCGAUGCGAUGACUGCAUCCACGCAGACGCCUUAUGGGACGACUGCAUCCACGCAGACACCCAGAUGCAACGACUGCAUCCACGCAGACACCCUGAUGCGACGACUGCAUCCACGCAGACGUCGAUGCGAUGACUGCAUCCUUGCAGACGCCUUAUGGGACGACUGCAUCCACGCAGAUGCCUUGAUGCUACGACUGCAUCCACGCAGACACCCUGAUGUUACGACUGCAUCCACGCAGACGCCUUAAUGCUACGACUGCAUUCACGCAGAUGCCUUACUGCAGUGACUGCAAUGAUGCAGACGCCUUGACGCUACGACUGCAUUCACGCAGAUACCUUACUGCAGUGACUGCACCUAGAAGCUGAGAAGACGCUGCACCUGCAGGUGUGGAGGUGUCAGGAACAUGUAAGAAGAGAACGAUGAUGACAGAACCUCCUCCAAACUGCAGGCAGGAACACGUCACCAUCAGCAGGGGAUCCAGGUGGGUCUGGUAGAUCCAGGUAGAUCCAGGCGGGUCCAGGUAGA